GCCGGGCUAGCUCAGCGGUUAGAGCACCUGACUGAAAAUCAGGGUUGUGCCCAGUUCGACUCUGGGGCCCGGCACCA
rnacentral:tRNA from 1 species